CUUCCCUUGCAGCUCCCCGUCACCCCUGGGCAAGGUCCCGGCUUCUCAGCCUGCAGUUUGAAGCCCUUUGAGAUUCCCCCGCUGGAACCAGCCUCCCCUCAGACCCUCUUCUCAGGGGGACUGCAGACUGCCCACCUCGGGAGCGGGACUGGACUCGUGGUGCCUGAAGGGGCUCCCCAUGAGGUGCUAGCCCUCCUCUAACUUAGUCUCACCAUAGCCUCCGUUCUUUCUGGGACCGGACAAGCUGCUGUUUCAGGGCGCUGGGUCUGGAUCCAGACAGCAUGGGCGCAGAUCUCUGUUCUACUACUUACUAUUUUGGGAGACCCUGAAGCUGAAGACCUUAGAAAACCUGAUCAACAUGAAGUAUGGCAUGAAGUAGUACUCAAUAAAGAGAAAACGUGAUGGUAAUCUUGAAGAAAAGCACCAUAUUCAUCCUUGUAUUUCCUUCUGUGUCCCUCUCUGUCCCUGGGGGAGGGCCUCUCUGACCAUCUCAGGCUGUCAUUGUGGGGAUUCUGGAACUCUGGAGUGGAAGGAUUCCUGAGACCUUUCCAGGGAUAUGCAAGGUCAAACACUAGUUUCAUAAUAAUCUGUACACAUUAUUUUCUUUUUUUUUUUUUUUUUGAGGUGGAGUUUCACUCGUGUUGUCCAGGCUGAAGUGCAAUGGCACGAUCUCAGCUCACUGCAACCUCUGUCUCCUAGGUUCAAGUGAUUCUUCUGCCUCUGUCUCCCAAGUAGCUGAGAUUACAGGCGCCUGCCACCAUGUCCAGCUAAUGUUUGUAUUUUUAAUAGAGACGUGGUUUCACCAUGUUGGCUAGGCUGGUCUUGAACUCCUGACCUUAGGUGUUCUGCCCACCUCGGCCUCACAAAGUGCUGGGAUUACAGGUGUGAGCCACUGCGCCCAGCACCUUUCUCACUCUUGUUCUCUCACAAGCACAAGGUGGAAUUUUCCAGAGUCUACAUGAUGUGAUAUUGUAGCAAAUUAAACCCUAAAGCAGCUAUGAGAGUCCAGCUGUCUUCUAUUAAGCCAGACAUUAAAGAGACUUGCAAAAGCGUAUAACGUUUUUUCUCACCAGUUUUUUGUCUUAAAAUGUAGCUGUUUUUCAUUAAAAUAUGUUAUGUUAACAUAUAUGUAUUAUUGCUAUUUAAAAAUAAAUUAAUAACAAAAUAUUUGAAAGAUUUCUCAGUUUUAAUAUCUACUGUGGAAUGUAUCAAUAGAUAUAGUGAAUUGUUGGGAGCAGGCCCUCCAAAAUCUGGCCAUAAACUGGCCAUAAACAAAAUCUAUGCAGCACUGUAACAUGUUCAUAAUGGCCCUAAGGCCCAAGCUGGAAGGUUGUGGGUUUACGGGAAUGAGGGCAAGGAACACCUGGCCCGCCCAGGGCAGAAAACCACUUAAAGGCAUUCUUAAGCCACAAACAAUAGCAUGAGCGAUCUGUGCCUUAAGGACAUGCUCCUGCUGCAGUUAACUAGCCCAACCUAUUCCUUUAAUUCAGCCCAUCCCUUUGUUUCCCAUAAGGAAUACUUUUAGUUAAUUCAAUAUCUCUAGAAACAAUGCUAAUGACUGGUUUGCUGUUAAUAAAUAUGUGGGUAAAUCUCUGUUUGGGGCUCUCAGCUCUGAAGGCUGUGAGACCCCUGAUUUCCCACUUCACACCUC
rnacentral:lncRNA from 1 species